ACUACCAGAUGGGAUUGUUAAUAGGCACUGACGGUCUAUUUAUCCGAUAUAACAAUGAAUAUCGCAUGCCAAUGAAGACACAUGGUGCUGUCAUGUAAGAGAUAUAUCAAACUUGCUCUUCUGGUGUCAGUUACUUCAUGCUUGUGGUUACAGUCUCUAGGUUGGCAGGAAUCUUCAUAAAAAAGUCCUAGCAUGACUUGGUGUGGAAGUGCAAAACAUAACUUUGUUGGGAUGCUGGUGGAGUAACCACAAGCAUGAAGUAACUGACACCAGAAGAAUACUGAAACACCUCGCAACCUCAUUAGCUGUAUCGUCGCCCAAGCACAAAGAUAUGGAAAAAGAACUAACAGAAAUCCCAACAUCUAAAUUC
rnacentral:lncRNA from 1 species